rnacentral:rRNA from 1 species
ACGGAGGAUGCAAGUGUUAUCCGGAAUCACUGGGCGUAAAGCGUCUGUAGGUGGUUUGAUAAGUCAACUGUUAAAUCUUGAAGCUCAACUUCAAAAUCGCAGUCGAAACUAUCAGACUAGAGUAUAGUAGGGGUAAAGGGAAUUUCCAGUGGAGCGGUGAAAUGCGUAGAUAUUGGAAAGAACACCGAUGGCGAAGGCACUUUACUGGGCUAUUACUGACACUCAGAGACGAAAGCUAGGGUAGCAAAUGGGAUUAGAUACCCCAGUAGUCCUAGCCGUAAACCAUGGAUACUAGAUGUUGAACAGAUCGACCUGUGCAGUAUUAAAGCUAACGCGUUAAGUAUCCCGCCUGGGAAGUAUGCUCGCAAGAGUG